ACGAACGCUGGCGGUAUGCUUAACACAUGCAAGUCGAACGGAUGUAGCAAUACAUUAGUGGCAAACGGGUGAGGAAUAUAGAGGAAUCUACCUAGCAGUAAGGAAUAACCUUGGGAAACCAAGGCUAAUGCCAUAUAUUACCAUUUAUUUGGGAAAGAUUUAUCGCUGUUAGAUGAGCCUCUAUCGGAUUAGCUAGUUGGUAGGGUAAUGGCCUACCAAGGCUAUGAUCCGUAGCUGGUCUGAGAGGAUGAUCAGCCACACUGGAACUGAGACACGGUCCAGACUCCUACGGGAGGCAGCAGUGGGGAAUAUUGGACAAUGGGCGCAAGCCUGAUCCAGCAAUACCGCGUGAGUGAUGAAGGUCUUCGGAUUGUAAAACUCUUUUAGUGGGGAAGAUAAUGACGGUACCCACAGAAAAAGCACCGGCUAACUUCGU
rnacentral:rRNA from 1 species